rnacentral:tRNA from 1 species
GGAGACGUGGGUGAGUGGCUUAAACCAGGUCCUUGCUAAGGAUCCAGGCCUUUACGGGUCUCCAGAGUUCGAACCUCUGCGUCUCCGCCA